CUGGCGGCAUGCCUUACACAUGCAAGUCGAACGGCAGCACGGGAGCAAUCCUGGUGGCGAGUGGCGAACGGGUGAGUAAUAUAUCGGAACGUGCCCAGUCGUGGGGGAUAACGUAGCGAAAGCUACGCUAAUACCGCAUACGAUCUACGGAUGAAAGCGGGGGACUCGUAAGGGCCUCGCGCGAUUGGAGCGGCCGAUAUCAGAUUAGGUUGUUGGUGAGGUAAAAGCUCACCAAGCCUGCGAUCUGUAGCUGGUCUGAGAGGACGACCAGCCACACUGGAACUGAGACACGGUCCAGGCUCCUACGGGAGGCAGCAGUGGGGAAUUUUGGACAAUGGACGCAAGUCUGAUCCAGCAAUGCCCGCGUGCAGGACGAAGGCCUUCGGGUUGUAAACUGCUUUUGUACGGAACGAAACGGUCUUCUUUAAUACAGGGGGCUAAUGACGGUACCGUAAGAAUAAGCACCGGCUAACUACGUGCCAGCAGCCGCGGUAAUACGUAGGGUGCGAGCGUUAAUCGGAAUUACUGGGCGUAAAGCGUGCGCAGGCGGUUAUAUAAGUCAGAUGUGAAAUCCCCGGGCUCAACCUGGGACCUGCAUUUGAGACUGUAUAGCUAGAGUACGGUAGAGGGGGAUGGAAUUCCGCGUGUAGCAGUGAAAUGCGUAGAUAUGCGGAGGAACACCGAUGGCGAAGGCAAUCCCCUGGACCUGUACUGACGCUCAUGCACGAAAGCGUGGGGAGC
rnacentral:rRNA from 1 species